ACUCCAUAAGUUUUUUUUUUUUUUUUUUUUUUUUUUUUUUUUUUUUUUUUUUUUUUUUUUUUUUUUUUUUUUUUUUUUUUUUUUUUUUUUUUUUUUUUUUUUUUUUUUUUUUUUUUUUUUUUUUUUUUUUUUUUUUUUUUUUUUAUUUUUUUUUUUUUUUUUUUUUUUUUUUUUUUUUUUUUUUUUUUUUUUUUUUUUUUUUUUUUUUUUUUUUUUUUUUUUUUUUUUUUUUAUUCUAUUCGUUACUUUUUAUAUCUGGUUUUUUAGGAUUUAAAUUUAAUUUAGGUUUUUUUGUUUUAUAUUAGUUAUUUUUUUUUUUACUUAUUUUAUAAGGGAUAAUCUUUAUAUGUUUUUAUAAUUUUUUUUGUUUAUUAUUUUUCUUAUUUUUAGUAUUUUUUAUUUAGUUUUUAAUAAAUUUGGGUAAUUUUUUAUGAUUUUUUUUUAUUUAUUUUUUUACUAAGAUUAUUUAAUUAUUCUUUUGAUAUUUUUAAUAAUGAUUUAAUUAGUAAUUUUUAUUAUUUUUUAAUAAUGAAUUAGACAACUUUUUCUCUUAAUUGUUUAACAAAAACAUUUCUUUUAGUUUAUUUUAAAGGUAUUUUCUGCUCUAUGAAUAAAAUUAUUAAAUGGCCGCAGUAUAUUGACUGUGCAAAGGUAGCAUAGUAAUUAGUUGCUUGAUUAGCAUCUUGUAUGAAUGGUUAUAUAAGGGGUAAUUUUUAUUUUUUCUAUUUUUUGAAUUUAAUUUUUGGGUUAAAAGGCUUAUUUGUUUUAUUGGGACGAAAAGACCCUAUAGAGCUUAAUUAUUAUUUUUUUAUAUUAUCUUUUGUUUAUUUUAUUUUUUUGUAUUUAUUUAGUUGGGGUGAUUUCUAAAUUUAAUCUUUAGAUUAUUAUUUCAUGUUUUUAUGUUUUGUUUGGAUUAAUUUUUUUGAUAUUUAUAAGAUAAAGUUACCUUAGGGAUAACAGCGUAAUUUUAGUGGGGAGUUCUUAUUUAUACUAAAGUUUUCGACCUCGAUGUUGAAUUAAGAUUUUUUCGGGGGGUAGGUUUUUCGUUAAUAAGUCUGUUCGACUUUUAAAUUCUUACAUGAUUUGAGUUCAAACCGGCGUGAGCCAGGUUGGUUUCUAUCUGGUAUUUAUUUAGUUUCAUUAGUACGAAAGGACCUUGAUUCUUGAGUUUAUUAACUUAUUUAUUUAUGUUGAAUUUAAUUAAUUU
rnacentral:rRNA from 1 species